UAACUGAAGAGUUUGAUCAUGGCUCAGAUUGAACGCUGGCGGCAGGCUUAACACAUGCAAGUCGAGCGGGGGAAGGUAGCUUGCUACCGGACCUAGCGGCGGACGGGUGAGUAAUGCUUAGGAAUCUGCCUAUUAGUGGGGGACAACAUCUCGAAAGGGAUGCUAAUACCGCAUACGUCCUACGGGAGAAAGCAGGGGA
rnacentral:rRNA from 1 species